CCUACGGGGUGCAGCAGUGAGGAAUAUUGGUCAAUGGACGAGAGUCUGAACCAGCCAAGUAGCGUGAAGGAUGACUGCCCUAUGGGUUGUAAACUUCUUUUAUAUGGGAAUAAAAUGUUCCAAGUGUGGGAUUUUGUAUGUACCAUAUGAAUAAGGAUCGGCUAACUCCGUGCCAGCAGCCGCGGUAAUACGGAGGAUCCGAGCGUUAUCCGGAUUUAUUGGGUUUAAAGGGAGCGUAGGUGGAUUGUUAAGUCAGUUGUGAAAGUUUGCGGCUCAACCGUAAAAUUGCAGUUGAAACUGGCAGUCUUGAGUACAGUAGAGGUGGGCGGAAUUCGUGGUGUAGCGGUGAAAUGCUUAGAUAUCACGAAGAACUCCGAUUGCGAAGGCAGUUCACUGGACUGCAACUGACACUGAGGCUCGAAAGUGUGGGUAUCAAACAGGAUUAGAUACCCUGGUAGUC
rnacentral:rRNA from 1 species